GUCCCUGGGGCGCAAUGGAUAGCGCGUUGGACUUCUAAUCCAAAGGUCGUGGGUUAUAAUUCCACCUGGGAUG
rnacentral:tRNA from 1 species